CCUGAGACUAUUGUUAUGACUGCCCAGUAUCCAAACACCCUUCUUACUGGGGGACAACCCCAAAUUAGGUAGAGCACAGGAGCCAGCCUCCUGCUCCAGAGGCUCCAGCCACCCAGGACAUGCACAUGUACCGGAGCUUAGCCAAGCAGAGCCAUAGACAUGAAGAGAGAGGGAGAGGGAUAUCUUUCUAAGGUGGCCUCAGUAGUAGCGAUGAACCUGGAGCAACACGUCCUCUGGCAUCUUAUGGUGGUGUUCGGUCGUCAGUUGGUUCUGGAACCAAAGCCUGGCUGUGCUCUCACUGUGCAUCCUUGUUUCUGCCCACUCUUGGCACCUCCCCACAGGUUCUCAUUAAAGCUGUCCUUGAUCUCCACAACUUCCUGCCGACUGCUGCUAAGAAAUCUGACUCCCGGAGCUCUGUCAAGGGCAGGAUGUUAAUGCAAGAACCACCCCUACUCUUGAGGGCCUUCCCAGUUUCCUUCAGGAUUUAAGCUCCCUGGCCUCAUUCCAGACAUUGGUCACCAAGUCCGCUAUUACAUUGGAUGAUUAAAGGUAUGUGGAUAUCAAGGAGAGAGCAGGCAGGGAAUUACAUUUGAUGGGCUCCAUUAGUCUUCUGUAGUUCAGGUAAGGUCAGCACAGGAUAUUGUUCAAACUCUAAAUUCUGGUACUUUGUUCCUGGGCAUAGAUGCUCUAACAUUCAGCGGUUUUUGCUGCCUUUUGAAAGGUGUCAAACUCAUAAUCUCACACAGAGUACACCAGAAUGAGGGACACUGACCAGCUCUAACCCAUCUCUAGGCACUAGGUCAUCUUGUCUCAAAAGACCUGUAUAAAAGUAGGCUAUUUCAUGCAAGGAAACUGCAGUUAGGAAAAUUACAUAUGUGCUUUAGACCACUCACAGGUAAAGGGUGGUGCCUGGUCAGGAGCUCUGGUUUUGCUCUUAACCCUUACACAGCCCUGCUUCCUUCAGAAAAAGUGUGGGGUGGAGUUCCCGUCGUGGCUCUGUGGUUAAUGAGCCCGACUAGUAUCCAUGAGGCUGUGGGUUCCAUUCCUGGCCUCGAUCAAUGGGUUAAGGAUCUGGCGUUGCCAUGAGCUGUGGUGUAGGUCGCAGAAGCAAUUCGGAUCCCAUGUUGCUGUGGCCCUGACGUAGGCCAGCGGCUACAGCUCCAAUUAGACCCCUAGCCUGGGAACCUCCGUAUGCCACGGGCGCGGCCCUAAAAAGACAAAAAGAAAAAAA
rnacentral:lncRNA from 1 species